rnacentral:rRNA from 1 species
AUGUAAAUUUUUGUGUGAAUUUUUAUUUAUUUUAAUAGUAUAUAAUUUAUAUAAUAUUCUCAGUAAUUAAUUUUAUAAAUCAAGGAAACUUGGAAGUAGUAAUUUCUUUAAGUAUUGGCUAAAUUUGUGCCAGCAGCCGCGGUUAUACAAAUAAUACAAAUAAAAUUAGUUUAGUGUGAGUUAAAUUUUAUAUUUAUUAAAAUAUACUUAAAUUUAUUAGGUGAAAUUUUAAAUUUAUAAAUUUUUAUUUAAAUAAUAUUGAAGCUUUUAAAUUUUAUAUAUAAACUAGGAUUAGAUACCCUAUUAUUUAAAAUGUAAAAAUUAACAUUAAGGUAGUAUUAGUUAUGUUCUUUAAACUUAAAAAUUUUGGCGGUAUUUUAGUCUAUUCAGAGGAACCUGUCCUGUAAUCGAUAUUCCACGAUGUACCUCACUUAAAUUUGUUUUCAGUUUAUAUACCGUCGUUAUCAGAAUAUUUUAUUAGAAUAAUAAUUUUCAAUAAUUUUUAUUAAAAUUUAUAUCAGAUCAAGGUGUAGCUUAUAUUUAAGUAGAGAUGGGUUACAAUAAAAUUUAUUUAAUUGGAUUUAAAUUUGAAAUAUUUAAUGAAAUUGGAUUUGAUAGUAAAAUUUUAAAUAUUAAAAGUUUGAUUAUAGCUCUAAAAUAUGUACACAUCGCCCGUCACUCUUAUUAUUAAGGUAAGAUAAGUCGUAACAUAGUAGAUGUA